CCUACGGGGAGCAGCAGUGGGGAAUAUUGGGCAAUGGGCGCAAGCCUGACCCAGCAACGCCGCGUGAAGGAAGAAGGCUUUCGGGUUGUAAACUUCUUUUCUCAGGGAAGAAGCAAGUGACGGGUCCUGAGGAAUAAGUCACGGCUAACUACGUGCCAGCAGCCGCGGUACUACGUAGGUGGCAAGCGUUAUCCGGAUUUAUUGGGGGGAAAGGGCGGGUAGGCGGGGACGCAAGUCAGAUGUGAAAGCCACGGGCUCAACCUGUGGCCUGCAUUUGAAACUGGGUUACUUGAGUACUGGAGAGGCAGACGGAAUUCCUAGUGUAGCGGUGAAAUGCGUAGAUAUUAGGAGGAACACCAGUGGCGAAGGCGGUCUGCUGGACAGCAACUGACGCUGAGGCGCGAAAGCGUGGGGAGCAAACAGGAUUAGAUACCCUAGUAGUC
rnacentral:rRNA from 1 species